GUGCUUACACAUGCAAGUCGAGCGGAAGGCCCUUCGGGGUACUCGAGCGGCGAACGGGUGAGUAACACGUGAGUAACCUGCCCCUGACUCUGGGAUAAGCCUGGGAAACCGGGUCUAAUACCGGAUAUGACACUCCUCCGCAUGGUGUGGGUGUGGAAAGUUUUUUCGGUUGGGGAUGGACUCGCGGCCUAUCAGCUUGUUGGUGGGGUGAUGGCCUACCAAGGCGACGACGGGUAGCCGGCCUGAGAGGGCGACCGGCCACACUGGGACUGAGACACGGCCCAGACUCCUACGGGAGGCAGCAGUGGGGAAUAUUGCGCAAUGGGCGAAAGCCUGACGCAGCGACGCCGCGUGGGGGAUGACGGCCUUCGGGUUGUAAACCUCUUUCAGCAGGGACGAAGUUGACGUGUACCUGUAGAAGAAGCGCCGGCUAACUACGUGCCAGCAGCCGCGGUAAUACGUAGGGCGCGAGCGUUGUCCGGAAUUAUUGGGCGUAAAGAGCUCGUAGGUGGCUUGUUGCGUCUGCCGUGAAAGCCCGUGGCUUAACUACGGGUCUGCGGUGGAUACGGGCAGGCUAGAGGCUGGUAGGGGCAAGCGGAAUUCCUGGUGUAGCGGUGAAAUGCGCAGAUAUCAGGAGGAACACCGGUGGCGAAGGCGGCUUGCUGGGCCAGUUCUGACGCUGAGGAGCGAAAGCGUGGGGAGCGAACAGGAUUAGAUACCCUGGUAGUCCACGCUGUAAACGUUGGGCGCUAGGUGUGGGGGUCUUCCACGAUCUCUGUGCCGUAGCUAACGCAUUAAGCGCCCCGCCUGGGGAGUACGGCCGCAAGGCUAAAACUCAAAGGAAUUGACG
rnacentral:rRNA from 1 species